rnacentral:rRNA from 1 species
AGGCAACAGUGGGGAAUAUUGGACAAUGGGGGCAACCCUGAUCCAGCCAUGCCGCGUGUGUGAAGAAGGCCCUCGGGUUGUAAAGCACUUUCAGCGAGGAAGAACGCCUAGUGGUUAAUACCCAUUAGGAAAGACAUCACUCGCAGAAGAAGCACCGGCUAACUCC